UACGGAGGGGGCUAGCGUUGUUCGGAAUUACUGGGCGUAAAGCGCACGUAGGCGGCUUUGUAAGUUAGAGGUGAAAGCCCGGGGCUCAACUCCGGAAUUGCCUUUAAGACUGCAUCGCUAGAAUUGUGGAGAGGUAAGUGGAAUUCCGAGUGUAGAGGUGAAAUUCGUAGAUAUUCGGAAGAACACCAGUGGCGAAGGCGGCUUACUGGACACAUAUUGACGCUGAGGUGCGAAAGCGUGGGGAGCAAACAGG
rnacentral:rRNA from 1 species